CAGUCGCCGCGGUAAAACGAAGGGUGCAAGCGUUACUCGGAAUUACUGGGCGUAAAGCGUGCGUAGGUGGUGGUUUAAGUCCGUUGUGAAAGCCCUGGGCUCAACCUGGGAAUUGCAGUGGAUACUGGGUCACUAGAGUGUGGUAGAGGAUAGUGGAAUUUCCGGUGUAGCAGUGAAAUGCGUAGAGAUCGGAAGGAACAUCUGUGGCGAAGGCGACUAUCUGGGCCAACACUGACACUAAGGCACGAAAGCGUGGGGAGCAAACAGGAUUAGAUACCCCGGUAGUCCCUGUCUCUUAUAC
rnacentral:rRNA from 1 species